AUCAGCUGAGUAAAAACUCGCAUAGGUUCGAAUCCUGUUGGUCGCGACCAUGCCUGAGUGGUUAAAGGGGCUGAUUAGAA
rnacentral:tRNA from 1 species